GAUGAACGCUGGCGGCGUGCCCAAUACAUGCAAGUCGAGCGAACAGACGAGGAGCUUGCUCCUCUGACGUUAGCGGCGGACGGGUGAGUAACACGUGGAUAACCUACCUAUAAGACUGGGAUAACUUCGGGAAACCGGAGCUAAUACCGGAUAACAUGUUGAACCGCAUGGUUCAACAGUGAAAGACGGUCUUGCUGUCACUUAUAGAUGGAUCCGCGCCGCAUUAGCUAGUUGGUAAGGUAACGGCUUACCAAGGCAACGAUGCGUAGCCGACCUGAGAGGGUGAUCGGCCACACUGGAACUGAGACACGGUCCAGACUCCUACGGGAGGCAGCAGUAGGGAAUCUUCCGCAAUGGGCGAAAGCCUGACGGAGCAACGCCGCGUGAGUGAAGAAGGUCUUCGGAUCGUAAAACUCUGUUAUUAGGGAAGAACAAAUGUGUAAGUAACUAUGCACGUCUUGACGGUACCUAAUCAGAAAGCCACGGCUAACUACGUG
rnacentral:rRNA from 1 species